CGCUGGCGGCACGCCUAACACAUGCAAGUCGAACGCAGUAGCAAUACUGAGUGGCAAACGGGUGAGUAUAAUGUGGGAAUCUGCCUUUUGGUUUGGAAUAACACGGGGAAACUUGUGCUAAUACCGAAUAAGCCCUUACGGGGAAAGUUUUAACGCCGAAAGAUGAGCCCGCACUUGAUUAGCUAGUUGGUAAGGUAAAAGCUUACCAAGGCAAUGAUCAAUAGCUGUUCUUAGAGGAAGACCAGCCACAUUGGGACUGAGA
rnacentral:rRNA from 1 species